GGCACCAUGAGAGCCUAACUGUCUCUUAUAACAAAUCAAUUAAACUGAUCCCCUAGUACAAAAGCUAGAAUUACACCAUAAGACCAGAAGACCCUGUGAAGCUUUAAUUAAACUAUUAAACCCCGUAAUAGCUAAUUUUGGUUGGGGCGACCUUGGAAAAAAGAAGAACUUCCAAACAAGCACCUCUCCUGCACCAAAGGCUAACAAGCCUCAAAUAGACCCAGCACAGCUGAUUGAUGAACCAAGUUACUCCAGGGAUAACAGCGCUAUCUUCUUCAAGAGCCCAUAUCAAAAAGAAGGUUUACGACCUCGAUGUUGGAUCAGGACAUCCUAGUAAUGCAACAGUUACUAAAGGUUCGUUUGUUCAACGAUUAAUAGUCCU
rnacentral:rRNA from 1 species